rnacentral:rRNA from 1 species
AGAACGAACGCUGGCGGCAUGCCUAAUACAUGCAAGUCGAACGAACUCUUCGGAGUUAGUGGCGCACGGGUGCGUAACGCGUGGGAAUCUGCCCCUUGGUUCGGAAUAACAGUUGGAAACGACUGCUAAUACCGGAUGAUGACGAAAGUCCAAAGAUUUAUCGCCAAGGGAUGAGCCCGCGUAGGAUUAGCUAGUUGGUGAGGUAAAGGCUCACCAAGGCAACGAUCCUUAGCUGGUCUGAGAGGAUGAUCAGCCACACUGGGACUGAGACACGGCCCAGACUCCUACGGGAGGCAGCAGUAGGGAAUAUUGGACAAGUGGG